UACAGAGGGGGCAAGCGUUGUUCGGAAUCACUGGGCGUAAAGGGCGCGUAGGCGGCCUCAGGUGUCGGAUGUGAAAGCCCGGGGCUCAACCCCGGAGGUGCAUCCGAAACUCUGGGGCUGGAGGUCGGAAGAGGAGGGUGGAAUACCCAGUGUAGAGGUGAAAUUCGUAGAUAUCAGGAGGAACACCGGUGGCGAAGGCGGGUCUCUGGGCCGAUACUGACGCUGAGGAGCGAAAGCGUGGGGAGCGAACAGG
rnacentral:rRNA from 1 species